CCUACGGGGGGCAGCAGUGAGGAAUAUUGGUCAAUGGGCGCUAGCCUGAACCAGCCAAGUAGCGUGAAGGAUGACUGCCCUCUGGGUUGUAAACUCCUUCUAUAUGGGAAUAAAGUGCAGUAUGUAUACUGCUUUGCAUGUACCUUAUGAAUAAGGAUCGGCUAACUCCGUGCCAGCAGCCGCGGUAAUACGGAGGGUCCGAGCGUUAUCCGGAUUUAUUGGGGUUAAAGGGAGCGUAGGCGGGUUGUUAAGUCAGUUGUGAAAGUUUGCGGCUCAACCGUAAAAUUGCAGUUGAUACUGGCAUCCUUGAGUACAGUAGAGGUAGGCGGAAUUCGUGGUGUAGCGGUGAAAUGCUUAGAUAUCACGAGGAACUCCGAUUGCGAAGGCAGCCUGCUGGACUGUAACUGACGCUGAUGCUCGAAAGUGUGGGUAGCAAACAGGAUUAGAUACCCUUGUAGUC
rnacentral:rRNA from 1 species